rnacentral:rRNA from 1 species
AAGCCUGAUGCAGCGACGCCGCGUGAGGGAUGACGGCCUUCGGGUUGUAACCUCUUUCAGCAGGGAAGAAGCCACAAGUGACGGUACCUGCAGAAGAAGCGCCGGCUAACUACGUGCCAGCAGCCGCGGUAAUACGAGGGCGCAAGCGUUGUCCGGAAUUAUUGGGCGUAAAGAGUCGUAGGCGGUUUGUCGCGUCUGCUGUGAAAGCCCGGGGCUCAACCCCGGGUCUGCAGUGGGUACGGCAGACUAGAGUGCAGUAGGGGAGACUGGAAUUCCUGGUGUAGCGGUGAAAUGCGCAGAUAUCAGGAGGAACACCGAUGGCGAAGGCAGGUCUCUGGGCUGUUACUGACGCUGAGGAGCGAAAGCAUGGGGAGCGAACCGGAUUAGAUACCCUGGUAGUCCAUGCCGUAAACGUUGGGCACUAGGUGUGGGGGACAUACCACA